rnacentral:lncRNA from 1 species
GGAGUAGCGCUCCUCUCUGCGAAACUUGCGUGCGGCCCGGUAAUGCCGCUACGUCACCUGCGUAACUCGGCACGAGAAUAGCAUAGGCGGCAGCGGGCGGCGCGUCGUGAGGGGAGGUGGCGGGACAGAGGCUCCCUCACGGCACUGCCGGGCCGAGCCCUCAGGCAGUCGGGAUGAGGAGCCCGCGAUGCAGUUUCCACAUCGAUGCAAUGGAUGCUGCUGAGGAGGAACCACCUCAGUUUGAUCUUUGUAAACUGCUGCUGCUCAGCCUGCAUGGACAGUUCUGGCAGUGCACUUGAAUAAGGCUGCAAAGUUUUGUGGCACUUCUGAGUCUUGUGAGGAUGUCUUGCCUCUAGGCUGGGCAUGACUGUGACAAGGAGAAGUACUAACCAAGAGAGAUCAAAGGGAAACCCAGGUAGGUUCCCAGGGAAGCUGCUGGGUGAUCAACCAGCUCAGGCUCCAGAGACUGCCUUUUGCAAG